rnacentral:rRNA from 1 species
AAUGAACGUUGGCGGCGUGGAUUAGGCAUGCAAGUCGAGCGGUAGAGGUCCUCUCACCACGUGUUUUCCCUUUGGGAAAGCAUGAGGUGAGAGGGCCUUGAGAGCGGCGAAAGGGAGAGUAACGCGUAGUUACGUACCCCGAGGACCGGAAUAGCCACGGGAAACUGUGGGUAAUGCCGGAUAAUAUCUUCGGAUCAAAGGGUGUGAUUCCGCCUUGGGAGCGGACUGCGUUGUACUAGCUAGUUGGUAGGGUAAUGGCCUACCAAGGCGAUGAUGCAUAGCGGGUGUGAGAGCAUGACCCGUCUCACUGGGACUGAGACACUGCCCAGACACCUACGGGUGGCUGCAGUCGAGAAUCUUCGGCAAUGGACGAAAGUCUGACCGAGCGACGCCGCGUGUGGGAUGAAGGCCUUCGGGUUGUAAACCACGAAAGUGGGGAGGAAAUCACUGGGGGUUCUCCCCCAGAGUUGACCUAUCCACAGUAAGGACGGGCUAAGUACGUGCCAGCAGCCGCGG